CCUAACACAUGCAAGUCUAACGGUAACAGGAAGCAGCUUGCUGCUUCGCUGACGAGUGGCGGACGGGUGAGUAAUGUCUGGGAAGCUGCCUGAUGGAGGGGGAUAACUACUGGAAACGGUAGCUAAUACCGCAUAAUGUCGCAAGACCAAAGAGGGGGACCUUCGGGCCUCUUGCCAUCGGAUGUGCCCAGAUGGGAUUAGCUUGUUGGUGGGGUAACGGCUCACCAAGGCGACGAUCCCUAGCUGGUCUGAGAGGAUGACCAGCCACACUGGAACUGAGACACGGUCCAGACUCCUACGGGAGGCAGCAGUGGGGAAUAUUGCACAAUGGGCGCAAGCCUGAUGCAGCCAUGCCACGUGUAUGAAGAAGGCCUUCGGGUUGUAAAGUACUUUCAGCGGGGAGGAAG
rnacentral:rRNA from 1 species